GAUUGAGUCCCAUGUCAUGCUCUGUGAUGUCAGCACAGAACCUGCUUAGUAUUCUCUCUCUCCUUCUCUCUCUGCCCCUCCCCUAGUCAUUCUCUCUUUCUUUCUCUCUCUCUCCCUCUCAAAAUUAAUAAAUAAACUUAAAAAACAAAGAAAAAGACAGAAGAUUCUCGUCACAUGUUGCCAAGGAGGCUAAUCAAAAGAAAAUUCUUCCUGGAAGGCAAGGCUUAGACCCAUGGAGAACAAUGAAUCCAGAAUCCCUCCCAGUGGACGGAACCAGAGACUAAUCAAGGAACAUGAUCUACUACCAACAAGAGGGAUCUGAAGUGUUCACCUAGCUGGAUUUCAGAUAUCUAUGGACCAGAGAUUGAUUGUGGCCUGUCUCUCAUUAUUCUCUUUUCAAACACUAGUGCUUUUUUUGGUGGAUAUUCCACCAUUCUAUGAUGGAUGUGUGAGUCUGAGGAGUGCCAUCAUUUAAAGUAGAGAUUAUUACAAAAUGAUGGAUUUACAGUCUGAUGCCAUGAUUGGAUAAGAUAUUUAGGAUGUCAUUCUUGGGGUGUAUUUUUGUGCACAAGGAAGGGAAAUAAAUGCUUGUGACUAAGA